rnacentral:tRNA from 1 species
GCUGCCGUAGCUCAGCGGUAGAGCACUCCCUUGGUAAGGGAGAGGUCGGGAGUUCGAUUCUCCCCGGCAGCACCA